rnacentral:rRNA from 1 species
AGUGAACGCUGGCGGUAGGCCUAACACAUGCAAGUCGAACGGCAGCACAGUAAGAGCUUGCUCUUACGGGUGGCGAGUGGCGGACGGGUGAGGAAUACAUCGGAAUCUACUUUUUCGUGGGGGAUAACGUAGGGAAACUUACGCUAAUACCGCAUACGACCUACGGGUGAAAGCAGGGGAUCUUCGGACCUUGCGCGAUUGAAUGAGCCGAUGUCGGAUUAGCUAGUUGGCGGGGUAAAGGCCCACCAAGGCGACGAUCCGUAGCUGGUCUGAGAGGAUGAUCAGCCACACUUGAACUUAGACACGGUCCAGACUCCUACGGGAGGCAGCAGUGGGGAAUAUUGGACAAUGGGCGGAAGCCUGAUCCAGCCAUACCGCGUGGGUGAAGAAGGCCUUCGGGUUGUAAAGCCCUUUUGUUGGGAAAGAAAAGCAGCAGGUUAAUACCCCGCUGUUCUGACGGUACCCAAAGAAUAAGCACCGGCUAACUUCGUG